rnacentral:rRNA from 1 species
GACGAACGCUGGCGGCGUGCUAACACAUGCAAGUCGAGCGGUAAGGCCCUUUCGGGGGUACACGAGCGGCGAACGGGUGAGUAACACGUGGGUGACCUGCCCUCAGCUCUGGGAUAAGCCUGGGAAACCGGGUCUAAUACCGGAUAUGACUCCAUGACGCAUGUUGUGGGGUGGAAAGCCUUGUGCGGCUGAGGAUGGGCCCGCGGCCUAUCAGCUUGUUGGUGGGGUGAUGGCCUACCAAGGCGACGACGGGUAGCCGGCCUGAGAGGGCGACCGGCCACACUGGGACUGAGACACGGCCCAGACUCCUACGGGAGGCAGCAGU